rnacentral:tRNA from 1 species
GCCUGUUUGGCUCAGUUGGUACAGGAUGUGACUCUUGAUCUCAGGGUCGUGAGUUCAAGCCCCACGGUGGGCG